rnacentral:rRNA from 1 species
GUGCAGCAGGCGCGAAACUUCACAAUGUGCGAAAGCACGAUGAGGGAAUCCCAAGUGCUUGCACGUAAGUGUAAGCUGUUUCUCUGUCUAAAACGCAGAGAGAGUAAGGGCUGGGUAAGACGGGCGCCAGCCGCCGCGGUAAUACCUGCAGCUCGAGUGGUGACCGUUAUUAUUGGGCCUAAAACGUCCGUAGCCGGUUUAAUAAAUGCCUGGGUAAAUCGGACCGCUUAACGGUUCGAAUUCCGGGUAGACUGUUAAACUUGAGACCGGGAGAAGUUAGAGGUACUCCUGGGGUAGAGGUGAAAUUCUGUAAUCCUAGGGGGACCACCAGUGGCGAAGGCGUCUAACUAGAACGGGUCUGACGGUGAGGGACGAAGCCCUGGGGCGCAAACGGGAUUAGAUACCCGUGUAGU